GAUGAACGCUAGCUACAGGCUUAACACAUGCAAGUCGAGGGGUAACGAGAGGAAAGCUUGCUUUCCUUGUCGACGACCGGCGCACGGGUGAGUAACGCGUAUCCAACCUGCCCCCAACUAGGGAAUAACCUCGCGAAAGUAAGACUAAUACCCUAUAAUUUCCUCAGAUGUCAUCUGACGAGGAAUAAAGAUUUAUCGGUUGUGGAUGGGGAUGCGUCUGAUUAGCUUGUUGGCGGGGUAACGGCCCACCAAGGCAACGAUCAGUAGGGGUUCUGAGAGGAAGGUCCCCCACAUUGGAACUGGGACACGGUCCAAACUCCGACGGGAGGCAGCAGUGAGGAAUAUUGGUCAAUGGGCGGAAGCCUGAACCAGCCAAGUAGCGUGCAGGAUGACGGCCCUAUGGGUUGUAAACUGCUUUUAUACAGGAAUAAAGUUAGCCACGUGUGGUUAUUUGUAGGUACUGUAUGAAUAAGGACCGGCUAAUUCCGUGCCAGCAGCCGCGGUAA
rnacentral:rRNA from 1 species